AGUGAACGCUGGCGGUAGGCCUAACACAUGCAAGUCGAACGGCAGCACAGGAGAGCUUGCUCUCUGGGUGGCGAGUGGCGGACGGGUGAGGAAUACAUCGGAAUCUACUUUUUCGUGGGGGAUAACGUAGGGAAACUUACGCUAAUACCGCAUACGACCUACGGGUGAAAGCAGGGGACCUUCGGGCCUUGCGCGAUUGAAUGAGCCGAUGUCGGAUUAGCUAGUUGGCGGGGUAAAGGCCCACCAAGGCGACGAUCCGUAGCUGGUCUGAGAGGAUGAUCAGCCACACUGGAACUGAGAAACGGUCCAGACUCCUACGGGAGGCAGCAGUGGGGAAUAUUGGACAAUGGGCGCAAGCCUGAUCCAGCCAUACCGCGUGGGUGAAGAAGGCCUUCGGGUUGUAAAGCCCUUUUGUUGGGAAAGAAAUCCAGCUGGCUAAUACCCGGUUGGGAUGACGGUACCCAAAGAAUAAGCACCGGCUAACUUCGUGCCAGCCGCCGCCGUAACAC
rnacentral:rRNA from 1 species